CCGUGUGGGUGGAAGGUUCGCUCAGACAGAGAAGGGGAGGAGCAACCAAAGGCCCAGUUCCACUUUCCCAUUGCAAGAUGGAACUGUACUGCAAUAGAGGUUGCUCAGAUUAGUAAGAACGAAGAAGAAGAAGAAGGAGAAGGAGGAGAAGGAGAAGGAGAAGAAGAAGAAGAAGAAGAAGAAGAAGAAGAAGAAGAAGAAGAAGAAGAAGAAGAAGAACAACAACAACAACAACAACAACAACAACAACAACAAGAAAAUAAAUUGUUUUUGAGAUAGGGACUCACUCUGUAGUCCAGGAAGGCCUAGAAUUUACUGUGUAGCCAAGGCUAGCCUCAAAUUACAUCAUUCUCUUGCCUCUGUGUCAUGAAUGCUGCAGCUAUGGGUGUGUGUCACCAUACCCAACUAAACUGACAAGAAAAAUAAUGUUUUAUUAAAUUCCA
rnacentral:lncRNA from 1 species